UAGAGUAUACUUUUAGGGAUCAUUUCUAUAGUUCUUUACUAGAGAAGUUUCUCUGAUCUUGUAGAGCACCUGAAACCACGAGAAUUUUCUCUGAUCAUGUAGGGCUUCCUGAGGGUGAAGUUGGUUCUAGGUGUUGUUUUUGCAACUGUCCUUUAUCACUGAUGAUCCUUCUCCUCUUCCCUUGGAAAAGGGAGAGGAAGAGGAUGCAGUCUGAGUGGU